GUGGCUGUGGUGAAGUGAGAGAGAGAAAAGAACACAGUGAUCCUAGAAUCAUAUUUGGUGGUCCUUUGGGUUGGAAUCCUAUACCCGUAUGAACUCUUUUUUCCUCCAAGUUAGGUGUAUUUUGAACAGAAGACCAAUAUAUUCUAACUUAUAUUUAAAGUGAAAUAUAGCUGUUACUGACAAUGAUCUACAGAGGACAAGAUGAAACUAAGACCAAUUAAGAGGUAAUUGGAAUAAUUCAGAUAAUAGAUAGAAGCAUGCACAAAAUGGCAUCAAGGGAAAUGAUAAGUGGUGGUAACUUUCUUGACAUAUUCUCGCAGAAUAGCCAUCAGUCUUUCCUGAUAAAAGGUGAUUGGUAAGAGAUAAAAAGAAAAAAAAUAGUUGGGGGCUAAAACAACAGAAACAAUGAUGUUACCAUUGUAAGAGCUUUUGAGAGAUUUGGGCAUUAGGGCAGCAUAAUUAUUCUGGGAGGAGGCAAGGUACUUGUGACUGAGAUGAAGAGGUAAAAGAACUGAGAAGCACUGAAAGAGACAGAUAAGUUGGUGUAAAUCCUCAGGGGAAGAGAGAUCGUAUCCAGGUUUGUCUGCUUACUAUUAGUAUAUUUCAAUUUUUAUAUCAAUGUUGGAUAUGUGACUAUGUUUAAUUUGGCCCAAACUCUUUAAUUAUCUAACUAAAAAUACUAUCAUAUUGAUUGUGUUUCAAAAGUGACACCAGUUUCCCACACUUUCCCUUCAAUUUCACACCCUAGAACUUCUUGGUGGAUGCGACUAUACAGAAAGGAAACGUAUCUAAAAUUCUUAACUGUCUUGACAUUUUUAAUGCAAUUAACAAUAACUUCAAUUAACCCACUCCUGCUUUAUUACAUAGCUUCUCCAGCGUCUUCCCUCUUCCUUCAAAUCCUCCUUUCCCCAGUAUUUGUCAUCCACCUGAGGAGUUGGGUAUGGAGGCCAUGCACUCUGAUUUCAUGUGUUUCCCUAGGUGGCUAUCUCUUACACUGCCUAAACACUCUACUAUGAUGGAUUUCUAACUGAAAACUGAAAUACCACCUUGAUUUCUUUAUAUAUUGUUAGUGAAAUCAAUCUUAACAAUAUUUGACUUUUGUACGUUUAAUCCACGUAAAUAUUAAUUAUACAAUUCAGGAAGUUUUUACAUAUCUAUAUAGACACAAAACCUCCAUUCAGAUCAAGAUAUGAAACAAUUCCAUAACCUCAUAUUUCCACAUUUCGCUUUCCAAUCAAUAUUUCCAUCCCAUCCUCAACUCAAGGCAGUAACUAUUCCGAUUUCUGUUAUUAAAGCUUAAUGUUGAGUGGAAUUUAAAGUCUUUCCCUUACUCAGUUCACAAUGCAGAUAACUUCCUAAAAUGCAGGGAUUAUAAACUGCAAGGUAUUCCUCUUCAAAAAGCCCAACAACCUAAAAAUAUAACCUAUUGAAAACAACAGUGGUGAUCCAUUUUUCAAAAGAUGACUCCCCAAUGAAGAAUUCUUCCCCCUUGAUAUAGAAUUCUUAAUAGAUAGUUUUGAGAUGCCUGGGUGGCUCAGUGGUUAAGUGCCUGCCUUCAGCUCAGGGUGUGAUCCUGGAGUCCCAGGAUCGAGUCCCACAUUGGGCUCCCUGCUUGGAGCCUGCUUCUCCUUCUGCCUCUCUCUUUCUGUGUCUCUCAUGAA
rnacentral:lncRNA from 1 species